AUUUUCAUUCGAAUUCAGUCAAUUUUACAGCAAAAAUAUGUUCACGACUGAAUUCUCGGUAUUCUGGCGUUUCUAUUGAUAUGUAAUAUGUUCCACUUUCCUCGAAAAACACUGAAGAUCUUGAUUUUUGAAAUUUCAAUUUCCUUCCACUUACCACUCGGGUUGCUCAAGUCGAAGUCACGUGUGUGGUUGUGUUUUGAUUUCCAUCCGUGUUUACUUACUGUUUUUCACGUUAUCAAUACGGAUCGGUACCAGCAGUGAUCAUUUCCAAUGCGAGGGAUGCUUGUACUUUCUAUUUCUAAGUUUUUUGAAGCCUAAUUUGUACCUUUGUGCGUCACUCCCAUCCUGUUUUCCUCUAAGACCGAAAAUCUGGAAUGAAGCUAAUCAGCAAGGUAAGUAAAGUUCUGAAGGUUGCACUGAAGUCCAAAUUUGUGGCAAGCUUACUUGUAAACUUCUUAAAAAGAUGAUUAUCUUUUUCAAAAUGUCAUGCAUUUUCCAAUUAAACUUGAUAAGAACAGUCAGGUAGGAGAUUUGCCGGGUGUAGUUUGGCACUUGGGCUGCAUGAAAAGUCCAUGAUAGGUACCUUGUAGGAGUUGGUCAGAGUUCGUUUCUUUGACUGCCUGUUUGUUCCUUCUGUUUCUUUUUAGUUAGUUUUCGUUUUUAUUUUUUGGGGCGAUUAAUUUGAAAACUGUUGAUAAUUUUUUACAGGUUGUGGAGUUUAUGUUUUGGGGACGUUCUCCUGAACCUGAGAUUUGAAGCAAAAUUACCCUGGUGUUCGUCAUUCCUGCGAUUUACACCCAGUCAUGCUUAAUUGUGUUGACUAAGACGGCUCAAAGUGGGCGUCAGUCUCUGCAGUAAACCGGUAUUAGUGCACAAUGGUCACUUGUUGUGUUAAAGGCUGCACCAGUCGCACAUCAACAUCGGGCCCGAAGAUUCCCAAUAUCUCUUUUUAUCGAUUUCCAACAGAUCCUGUUUUGCGGAAAAGGUGGUUAAACAGGAUUAAUCGCAAAGAUUUUUCACCAACCAUUCACUCCAGGGUAUGUUCCCGGCACUUCCAGCUUAAUUCAGCGGUUCCGUCUAUAUUUCCAAAAGGCACACAUAUACCUAAGGGAUUGCUGCUAAUCAAGUUUUUGCACCACGAUCUUCGUACGAGGAUGCAAAAGCAGUUGGCUGUUUGGUCAAAUGUAGCAGAUUUGAACUGUCAAGUUGAGAGUUUUGUAAUUAUUUGCCUGGUUGAUAAAGGGGUUGAGACCACCCGGAAACGCCCUCCUAGGCAUUUAUGUAUUAUGUUUGUCUCUAGCCAUGGAUGCCCACUUUAUUUUGUUUUUCAUUCAAUUAUGUGGUAAGUUGAUAGAAAUAAAAAUAAUUACCUAGGUUUAUUUUUAAUCUAACAGAAGUUAUUCAUUCUGCAACAAGUAGU
rnacentral:lncRNA from 1 species